rnacentral:rRNA from 1 species
GACGAACGCUGGCGGCGUGCUUAACACAUGCAAGUCGAACGGUAAGGCCCCACUUUGCUGGGGUACACGAGUGGCGAACGGGUGAGUAACACGUGGGUGACCUGCCCUGCACUUUGGGAUAAGUCUGGGAAACUGGGGCUAAUACCGGAUAGGACCUCCGGGUGGAUACUGGGGGUGGGAGUUUUUUCGGUUUGGGAUGGGCCCGCGGGUUAUCAGCUUGUUGGUGGGGUAUUGGGCUACCAAGGCGGUGACGGGUAGCCGGCCUGAGAGGGUGACCGGCCACAUUGGGACUGAGAUACGGCCCAGACUCCUACGGGAGGCAGCAGUGGGGAAUAUUGCACAAUGGGCGGAAGCCUGAUGCAGCGACGCCGCGUGCGGGAUGACGGCCUUCGGGUUGUAAACCGCUUUCACCGGCGACGAAGCGUGACUGACGGUAGUUGGUGAAGAAGCACCGGCUAACUACGUG